rnacentral:rRNA from 1 species
GAUGAACGCUGGCGGCGUGCUUAACACAUGCAAGUCGAACGAAGCAUUUUACCGGAAUUUCUUCGGAGAGGAAAGUAAAAUGACUGAGUGGCGGACGGGUGAGUAACGCGUGGAUAACCUGCCAUAUACAGGGGGAUAACAGUUAGAAAUGACUGCUAAUACCGCAUAAGCGCACAGUAUCGCAUGAUACGGUGUGAAAAACUACGGUGGUAUAUGAUGGAUCCGCGUCUGAUUAGCUAGUUGGUGGGGUAAUGGCCCACCAAGGCGAUGAUCAGUAGCCGACCUGAGAGGGUGACCGGCCACAUUGGGACUGAGACACGGCCCAAACUCCUACGGGAGGCAGCAGUGGGGAAUAUUGCACAAUGGGCGAAAGCCUGAUGCAGCGACGCCGCGUGAGCGAAGAAGUAUUUCGGUAUGUAAAGCUCUAUCAGCAGGGAAGAAAAUGACGGUACCUGACUAAGAAGCCCCGGCUAACUACGUGCC